rnacentral:rRNA from 1 species
UGAACGCUGGCGGCGUGCCUACUACAUGCAAGUCGAGCGACCAGACGAGGAGCUUGCUCCUCUGACGUUAGCGGCGGACGGGUGAGUAACACGUGGAUAACCUACCUAUAAGACUGGGAUAACUUCGGGAAACCGGAGCUAAUACCGGAUAAUAUAUUGAACCGCAUGGUUCAAUAGUGAAAGACGGUUUUGCUGUCACUUAUAGAUGGAUCCGCGCCGCAUUAGCUAGUUGGUAAGGUAACGGCUUACCAAGGCGACGAUGCGUAGCCGACCUGAGAGGGUGAUCGGCCACACUGGAACUGAGACACGGUCCAGACUCCUACGGGAGGCAGCAGUAGGGAAUCUUCCGCAAUGGGCGAAAGCCUGACGGAGCAACGCCGCGUGAGUGAUGAAGGUCUUCGGAUCGUAAAACUCUGUUAUUAGGGAAGAACAAAUGUGUAAGUAACUAUGCACGUCUUGACGGUACCUAAUCAGAAAGCCACGGCUAACUACGUG